CAAAGAAUAGUUUAAUUUAGAAUCUUAGCUUUGGGAGUUAAGGGUAGGAGUUAGAAUCUCUUUUCUUUGA
rnacentral:tRNA from 1 species